AUCCUCAAGAAGAAGACUAGUACAUAUAACACGAGGCGAAACGCAGAGAAGUCCUUUCCGUGCUGAAGCAGCAAAGAAUGUGCGCGUGUUGAAGGGGGAAAAAAACGGCUGUUUGCUGGUGUUUUCCGAGGACUUCACACAUUUAUGAUUCCGUUGACGGAGAUUUGGACCGCUUUGUCCUUAAACCUCAUAUUCAGACUUGUUUUCUUUGAACCGCUGUAUCUGUCCUUGAAUUUCAUGUUUGUAUGUUGAGUGCAUUAUUGUAACAUGUCCCAUUAAA